GUCUGUUCGUUAUGGAAAAGCUUUCUCAGAGCAUGUCUACUCCUAUCUUCUGUACAGUUAUGGCAAAAGAGAUGCAGUGUAGAAUGGGAAGAAGGGGAGACAGCAGAAUUUUAAAUUGUUUCUGGGAAUAAGACUGUUUUCAAAUGCAGGUCAGCACUGUGGAUUGAGAGAAGAACAUUCUUCUCUCCAGGAAUGUCCCAGGCAGAACUUGCCACUCCUGAGUGAGCACCAGUGCAAGUAUCUCCUGGAUAAGGGCAGUGUUGGUUCAUGAUCUGACAUGACUUACAAAUGUCAAUCUUUCUGAGGUUAAUUGUUUCCGUUCUGUGAGCUGAGGGGUUUCUGUAAAGCAGGCUGUGACUGUGGCAAUUUGGAGGCUCUGGUACUGGCAAGCUCACCUUUGGGCAUGGCAGCAGACUUUCUGUGAGACCCAGUGAGUAGCUCUUAGUUACCUGCACGUGUUAAACUGAGCUGCUGAGGUGGGGCAGGCGGUCAUGAAGGUGAAGCUCAGCCUGUCCCAAAGGAACAUUUCUGUGCUCCCAGAAGGUCCCUGUGCAGUUCCUAGCAGUGCAUUCCUGAGGUCACAGUGCCUGCUCACAGCUCGCCGCUGCUGCCUGUGCUUGUUGUUGUGCAG